CCUAUGGGUUGUAAACUGCUUUUCUAUACCAAGAAACACCGAUACGUGUAUCGGUUUGCCGGUAGUAUAGGAAUAAGCAUCGGCUAACUCCGUGCCAGCAGCCGCGGUAAUACGGAGGAUGCAAGCGUUAUCCGGAAUCACUGGGUUUAAAGGGUGCGCCGGCGGAAUAGUAAGUCAGAGGUGAAAGCCCACAGCUCAACUGUGGAAUUGCCUUUGAUACUGUUAUUCUUGAGUGUAGUUGAAGUAGGCGGACUAUAGCCUGUAGCGGUGAAAUGCAUAGAUAUGCUAUAGAACACCAAUUGCGAAGGCAGCUUGCUAAACUAUAACUGACGCUGAGGCACGAAAGCGUGGGGAGCGAACAGGAUUAGAUACCCUGGUAGUCCACGCCGUAAACUAUGAACACUCGCUGUUGGCAAUACACAGUCAGCGGCUGAGCGAAAGCGUUAAGUGUUCCACCUGGGAAGUACGAUCGCAAGGUUGAAACUCAAAGGAAUUGACGGGGGCCCGCACAAGCGGAGGAGCAUGUGGUUUAAUUCGAUGAUACGCGAGGAACCUUACCUGGGCUUAAAUGUAUAUUGACGUACUGAGAAAUCAGUAUUUCUUCGGACAAUUUACAAGGUGCUGCAUGGUUGUCGUCAGCUCGUGCCGUGAGGUGUCGGGUUAAGUCCCAUAACGAGCGCAACCCCUACUUCUAGUUACCAGCAUUUCGGAUGGGGACUCUAGAGGAACUGCCUACGCAAGUAGAGAGGAAGGUGGGGAUGACGUCAAAUCAGCACGGCCCUUAUGUCCAGGGCUACACACGUGCUACAAUGGCCGGUACAGAGGGCAGCUACAUAGCAAUAUGAUGCUAAUCUCAAAAGCCGGUCUCAGUCCGGAUUGGAGUCUGCAACUCGACUCCAUGAAGCUGGAUUCGCUAGUAAUCGCACAUCAGCAAUGGUGCGGUGAAUACGUUCCCGGGCCUUGUACACACCGCCCGUCAAGCCAUGGAAGUUGGGGGUACCUGAAGUCGAUUGCCGUAAGGCGUUGCCU
rnacentral:rRNA from 1 species